rnacentral:rRNA from 1 species
GAUGAACGCUGGCGGCGUGCCUAAUACAUGCAAGUCGAGCGAAUGGAUUAAGAGCUUGCUCUUAUGAAGUUAGCGGCGGACGGGUGAGUAACACGUGGGUAACCUGCCCAUAAGACUGGGAUAACUCCGGGAAACCGGGGCUAAUACCGGAUAACAUUUUGAACCGCAUGGUUCGAAAUUGAAAGGCGGCUUCGGCUGUCACUUAUGGAUGGACCCGCGUCGCAUUAGCUAGUUGGUGAGGUAACGGCUCACCAAGGCAACGAUGCGUAGCCGACCUGGGAGGGUGAGCGGCCACACUGGGACUGAGACACGGCCAAGACUCCUACGGGAGGCAGCAGUAGGGAAUCUUCCGCAAUGGACGAAAGUCUGACGGAGCAACGCCGCGUGAGUGAUGAAGGCUUUCGGGUCGUAAAACUCUGUUGUUAGGGAAGAACAAGUGCUAGUUGAAUAAGCUGGCACCUUGACGGUACCUAACCAGAAAGCCACGGCUAACUACGUGCCAGCCGCCGCAGUAA